rnacentral:rRNA from 1 species
CGGACGGGUGAGUAACGCGUGGGUAACCUGCCUUGUACAGGGGGAUAACAGUUGGAAACGGCUGCUAAUACCGCAUAAGCGCACGGCAUCGCAUGAUGCAGUGUGAAAAACUCCGGUGGUAUAAGAUGGACCCGCGUCUGAUUAGGUAGUUGGUGGGGUAACGGCCUACCAAGCCGACGAUCAGUAGCCGACCUGAGAGGGUGACCGGCCACAUUGGGACUGAGACACGGCCCAG